AGAGUUUGAUCCUGGCUCAGGACGAACGCUGGCGGCGUGCCUAAUACAUGCAAGUCGAGCGGACUUAAUGGAGCUUGCUCCAUUAAGUUAGCGGCGGACGGGUGAGUAACACGUGGGCAACCUGCCUGUAAGACUGGGAUAACUCCGGGAAACCGGAGCUAAUACCGGAUAGUAUCUUGAACCGCAUGGUUCAAGUUGGAAAGACGGUUUCGGCUGUCACUUACAGAUGGGCCCGCGGCGCAUUAGCUAGUUGGUGAGGUAAUGGCUCACCAAGGCAACGAUGCGUAGCCGACCUGAGAGGGUGAUCGGCCACACUGGGACUGAGACACGGCCCAGACUCCUAAGGGAGGCAGCAGUAGGGAAUCUUCCGCAAUGGACGAAAGUCUGACGGAGCAACGCCGCGUGAGUGAUGAAGGUUUUCGGAUCGUAAAACUCUGUUGUUAGGGAAGAACAAGUGCGAGAGUAACUGCUCGCACCUUGACGGUACCUAACCAGAAAGCCACGGCUAACUACGUGCCAGCAGCCGCGGUAAUUC
rnacentral:rRNA from 1 species